rnacentral:lncRNA from 1 species
UUUUUAACGUGGUGCUGAGGAUAAAACCCACUGCCUCACACAUGCCAGAUGAGCGUUCAACCCCAGCCCCAAAGGACUCAUUUUAAUAGCUACAUAUCAUAUAUGUGCACAGAUGUCUAAGUGGUAUGCAGAGAUUAGUGAAGCUUCUCAAAACUAAACAUUUACUUCUGCUCUGUGAAAAUAUAGGAAAUAUUUUAAUAAUAGGAGGAAUGGCUAGCAGGAGAAAAAAAUUCCUUGAAGUGAGCUGAUGGUCUCAGAAUUGGUGAAUCCAAGGGAAGAGCAAGUCCUACUCAGAUUUAGUCACUGUGGAGGUCCAGGGAAGACGGAUCGUGUGAACAGUGGUUUCAAAGCCUUCUGCAUGAAAAGCUGAGAGUGCACCAAUCGGUGCAGGUCUGUCCCAUGUUAGAAACAGACGGAUCACAGCAGUUCUUGGGAUAGUCCAAUGGGUCUUUCUCUUGUUAAUGUAAAAAUGUAUGGCUACUGUUUUUGCCAUCAAAAAUUGACGAUCUUGGUCUUUCCACCUUGCCUUUUUAUAAUGUCAAAAGAAAGGCACUGGUCACUUCAACAGCUUUACAGUGGACUCCAGCAAUGUCACCAACGGUAUGACUUUUUCAACCAAAUCUAACAACUUCAUCAUUUUUCUCAGUGAAGUCAAAGCAGCUGUCACUGGGUUAAAGGCUGUGAUUUUCUUGCUGUUCUUGAUCAGCUGGACCCUGACACACUUCCUGAUGGCAGAAUUUGGCCGUUUGGCUUCAACGCCUACCCUCUCCAGCACUGUGCCCUUUAUAUGGGAAGCAUCUCCCAGAGGGUUGGCCUUGGGGGUUGUGCCAAAUGGGUAUUCUUGUACUGUUCAUCAUGCCACCUCUGGUUCCUUGGUGACUUCGGAGCUUCCUUGUGGUAUGACACUGGGACACCUGCCUGUCUUGCUGGUGCCACUGGGCAGAGUGAAAGAGAGCCCUGACAAUUUUAAAGGACCCAUCAUGCUGCACCAGGUGAUUUGGCCACACACAGAACCUGGAUGCCCAACGGAAUGAACAUUUUGUAUGUAGAUGUGGAAAAUGGCCUGUGUGCCCCGGGAACACGUGACUCCUGGUAAGGGAAGGAAACAGGGGUGUGCCUGUUCAGAGUACUGUUUGUACUUCACAGGUCCUCUCCGUAAAAAACAGGUGCUCCUCUUACAGACAUGCUCACACUAGCAGAGGAUAAGACAGGAAGCUUUAAGGAAAGCAGAAAUUGGGAGGGGAGGAGGU